rnacentral:rRNA from 1 species
UACGUAGGUGACCAGCGUUGUCCGGAUUUACUGGGCGUAAAGAGCGCGCAGGCGGUCGUUCAAGUCGGAGGUGAAAUCCCUCGGCUCAACUGAGGAACUGCCUUCGAUACUGUUCGGCUUGAGUCCUGGAGAGGGUAGCGGAAUUCCCGGUGUAGCGGUGAAAUGCGUAGAGACCGGGAAGAACACCAGUGGCGAAGGCGGCUACCUGGACAGGUACUGACGCUGAAGCGCGAAAGCUAGGGGAGCAAACAGG